rnacentral:misc_RNA from 1 species
ACCCGAUCUACUCUAGAUAGAGUGAGGUAUUGGCUUUAGGACGCGUAAGCGGUCUUUAGCUUGAAUGUAUUAAGGCUGAUGAGUUCCCAAUGGUGGCCUCAAUGUGUGCUAGCGGACAGAUGUUUCGAUGUCACAUUGACGGUUCCAAUGCAAGCUCUAUAAACGGCCUCCUGCUGCUGCUGGGAGGGGGACGGCGACAUGGUCAAACAUGACGUCAUCACCAUCACGGCAUCAGAUCAUCUA